rnacentral:rRNA from 1 species
CAGUCGCCGCGGUAAUACGUAGGUGGCAAGCGUUGUCCGGAAUUAUUGGGCGUAAAGCGCACGUAGGCGGCUGUGUAAGUCAGAGGUGAAAGCCCCCGGCUCAACCGGGGAGGGUCAUUGGAAACUGGGAAACUUGAGUGCAGAAGAGGAGAGUGGAAUUCCACGUGUAGCGGUGAAAUGCGUAGAGAUGUGGAGGAACACCAGUGGCGAAGGCGACUCUCUGGUCUGUAACUGACGCUGAGGAGCGAAAGCGUGGGGAGCGAACAGGAUUAGAUACCCGGGUAGUCCCUGUCUCUUAUAC